AUUCUACUCCCUCCGUUGCACAAUACAUGCCUUCUAUUUGUCAAAAUAUAUGUGUAUCUAGACAUGUUUUAGUAUAUAGGUACAUCCAUUUUUGGACAAAUGGAAGUCAAGUAUUUUGGAACGGUGGGAGUACACA
rnacentral:pre_miRNA from 1 species